UUCACCUCCAAGAAAACUCUUUGGACACCAAAUUUUAACAUAGAUCCUCCAAAUGAAGGAAGGAGGUUACGAAGCACAUUUGGGAAAUCAGGAAUGUGAACACAAAUGCACCUCCCCUGGAGGAAACUCACUAUGGAGAAGAAACUUCCUAUGAAGAGAAAACUGCUGAAAAAGAAAUCCCAGCUGAGGACUGGAUAGUUGCAAACAAAGAUCUGAUCGACAAGACGAAGUUCACCAUCACAGGUCUGCCAACAGAUGCAAAGAUCUUUGUGCGUGUGAAGGCUGUUAAUGCAGCUGGUGCCAGUGAGCCCAAGUACUAUUCUCAGCCCAUUCUCGUGAAGGAAAUCAUAGAACCUCCAAAGAUUCGCAUCCCAAGACACCUGAAGCAAACCUAUAUCCGCAGAGUUGGAGAAGCUGUCAAUCUGGUUAUACCUUUCCAG
rnacentral:sRNA from 1 species